CUCCAAACUCGAUAGGAUCUCCAAGCGGAGUCCCAGUACCGUGCAUCUGCAACACACCGCACGAGUAAUCUAGCGAGUCCUCAAAAAUAGAGACAUCAUCAAUGGCCUUACCGAUUACUUCUUGCUGAGAUGGGCCAUUUGGCGCGGUAAGUGAGCUACUUCGACCAUCUUGAUUUACAGCUGACCCACAAAGUGCAACAAACGCACGACUCAUGCUUGAUGUUGACAAUAGAAGUGUGUGACAGGCCUCCCCCCUAAUGUACCCAUCUGCUCCAGCAUCUAAUGUGCGGCAUCUUCCAGAUGAAGAUAGCAUGCCAGCGCGGCCCAAUUUUUUAUGCAUGUCUAUCGUCAACAUGAGUGAUACUCCGACCGUGAAAGCUCCACUUGACUGGUUCUUCCUUGUGAAAUCAAGAGAUAAGUUUACU
rnacentral:lncRNA from 1 species